UACGGAGGGGGCAAGCGUUGUUCGGAUUUACUGGGCGUAAAGGGCGCGUAGGCGGCUUUGUAAGUUACUUGUGAAAUCUCCGAGCUUAACCCGGAACUGCCAAGUAAGACUGCAAAGCUAGAGUGCAGAAGGGGCAACUGGAAUUCUUGGUGUAGCGGUGAAAUGCGUAGAUAUCAAGAGGAACACCUGAGGCGAAGGCGGGUUGCUGGGCUGACACUGACGCUGAGGCGCUAAAGCUAGGGGAGCAAACAGG
rnacentral:rRNA from 1 species